rnacentral:rRNA from 1 species
UGCAGAAUUCGCCUUAGAGUUUGAUCCUGGCUCAGGAUGAACGCUGGCGGUAUGCUUUACACAUGCAAGUCGUACGAGAGUUUUUAACUCAAGUGGCGGACGGGUGAGUAACACGUAAGAAUUUGCCUUUAGGAGGGGGAUAACAACUGGAAACGGUUGCUAAUACCCCAUAUGCUUUCGAGUAAAAUGGAUUUUCCGCCUAAAGAGAAGCUUGCGGCUGAUUAGCUUGUUGGUGAGGUAAUGGCUCACCAAGGCGACGAUCAGUAUCUGGUUUGAGAGGACGAUCAGACACACUGGAACUGAGACACGGUCCAGACUCCUACGGGAGGCAGCAGUGGGGAAUUUUCCGCAAUGGGCGAAAGCCUGACGGAGCAAUACCGCGUGAGGGAUGACGGCCUAUGGGUUGUAAACCUCUUUUUUCAGGGAGGAAUCAAUGACGUGUACCUGAAGAAUAAGCAUCGGCUAACUCCGUGCCAGCAGCCGCGGUAAGACGGAGGAUGCAAGUGUUAUCCGGAAUCACUGGGCGUAAAGCGUCUGUAGGUGGUCAAAUAAGUCAACUGUUAAAUCUUGAGGCUCAACCUCAAAAUCGCAGUCGAAACUAUUCGACUAGAGUAUAGUAGGGGUAAAGGGAAUUUCCAGUGGAGCGGUGAAAUGCGUAGAGAUUGGAAAGAACACCGAUGGCGAAGGCACUUUACUGGGCUAUUACUAACACUGAGAGACGAAAGCUAGGGUAGCAAAUGGGAUUAGAUACCCCAGUAGUCCUAGCCGUAAACAAUGGAUACUAGAUGUUGAACAGAUCGACCUGUGCAGUAUCAAAGCUAACGCGUUAAGUAUCCCGCCUGGGAAGUAUGCUCGCAGGAGUGAAACUCAAAUGAAUUGACGGGGAAGGGC